CAACCUGAACUCAGUCGUGAUUACCCGCUGAACUUAAGCAUAUCAUUUAGCGGAGGAAAA
rnacentral:ncRNA from 1 species